GUCAUAGGUCAGUGGUAGAUCAUCUGCUUUGGGUGCAGAAGGUCGCAGGUUCAAUCCCUGGUAUCUCCU